AUUGAACGCUGGCGGCGUGCCUAAUACAUGCAAGUCGAACGCAGUGGGGACGGGUGAGUAACACGUGGCUAACCUCCCAUCAGAGGGGAUAACACUUGGAAACAGGUGCUAAACCGAUACUGAUGGAUGGACCCGCGGUGCAUUAGCUAGUUGGUGGGGUAACGGCUCACCAAGGCCACGAUGCAUAGCCGGCCUGAGAGGGUGAUCGGCCACACUGGGACGGAGACACGGCCCAGACGCCUACGGGAGGCAGCAGUGGGGAAUCUUCGACAAGGGGCGAAAGUCUGACGGAGCAAAGCCGCGUGAGUGAAGAAGGUUUUCGGGUCGUAAAGCUCUGUUGUUAGGGAAGCGGUAUCUAACCAGAAAGCCACGGCUAACUACGUGCCAGCAGCCGCGGUAAUAC
rnacentral:rRNA from 1 species